GGUGUGGAGGGAAAAUUCAAAAUCAAAGGGGGGAGCGGCGUCACAGCCAAACCACAGGGAUUUAUCAUCAUGUCUUCUGCUCCACUGUGUGAUUUGGACAAGUUGAGAAACGGGUCUGGGCGUAGCCCCACAGCCAACAACGGUUCAACGCCUGGCAGGCAACGCCUUAGUGCUUUUCAGAUUCCAACUCCUUAACUGAUCGACUGGAUCCCAUGAGUCCACUUCAUCUGCAGUGAGCCUCUUUUGGACUCGACGCCGCUGCAGAGACAAGAACCACAACAGCAGGUGGAGACGCCCAUACAGUCUGAGACCAACACCUGCAGCUUCAAAUGUUGGAGUGGAAUGAUUGAUGAAUUGAUCGAUCGAUUGGGAUUUUCUAAUUACAGCAGCAUGUUCUUCCUGUCUUCAGGCCAAAGACUUGUCUCCUGUGUUGACGACACAAUUUACAGAACACUUAAAUGGUUUUUCGCCUGUAUGGACACGUGUAUGUACAACCAACGCCGGUCUCCGCAUGAAGCUUUUCUCACAAAAUUCACAGUUGAAAGACUUUUCCCCUGUAUGGAGUCGUAUGUGUUCCUUCACAAGAAACUUGCGAGUAAAUGUUUUAUUACA